GGCAGCGUGGCCGAGUGGUCUAAGGCGCUGGUUUUAAGCACCAGUCUCUUCGAAUCCCACCGCUGCCA
rnacentral:tRNA from 1 species